rnacentral:rRNA from 1 species
UACGGAGGAUCCGAGCGUUAUCCGGAUUUAUUGGGUUUAAAGGGUGCGCAGGCGGGGGAUUAAGUCAGCGGUGAAAUUUUGCAGCUUAACGUGUAACAGUGCCGUUGAUACUGGGGAGCUAGGAUUUGGUUGCUGUGGGUGGAAUGUGUGGUGUAGCGGUGAAAUGCUUAGAGAUCACACAGAAUAUCGAUUGCGAAGGCAGCUCACAAAGCCAAGAUUGACGCUGAGGCACGAAAGUGUGGGGAUCAAACAGGAUUA